rnacentral:rRNA from 1 species
UAAUACGUAGGGGGCGAGCGUUGUCCGAAGUUACUGGGCGUAAAGCGCGCGUAGGCGGUCCUUUAAGUCUGGUGUGAAAGGUUUGGGCUCAACCCGAACAGUGCACUGGAUACUGGGGGACUUGAGUUAGGGAGAGGAGAGUGGAAUUCCUGGUGUAGCGGUGAAAUGCGUAGAUAUCAGGAGGAACACCGAUGGCGAAGGCAGCUCUCUGGUCCUAUACUGACGCUGAGGUGCGAAAGCGUGGGGAGCGAACGGGAUUAGAUACCCCGGUAGUCCACGCCGUAAACGAUGAGUGCUAGGUGUCAGGGGUAUCGACCCCCCUGGUGCCGCCGUUAACACAUUAAGCACUCCGCCUGGGGAGUACGGCCGCAAGGUUG